UUUCUGGGACUGCCGUUGGAUUCGAACAUGGUACCUGCCUAAGAAGGCGGUUCGGGGUUCUGCCGCAUUGGCUCCAACAGCCUACGAGCAGAAGGGCACAAACAGCAGGGGAACUAAUGCUCAUGUGACCGAAUAGCGCAGCUCCCAGGACAAAAGGGGAUCUUCCCGUUAAUUCUACCCAACACUUCAGGGGAAGUAGAUGUUACUGGGAAUGAGGAUCUUAUCGUCGCCUGGGAUGACAGCUGUGCAAACUGAAGCUAGACAACUUGAGAUAAACUUCAGAGGAACUGCCACGACAGCCCAUGUUCAGACGGUCUUCGUGCCUGUUGCUUUAUAUGGGCCUCUCAGAAAGAUCACCAGAGAUACUCGGACUGCAAACCAGGAAAAUCUGUCAGAUCGCCACUGCCAGCUCUCACUCCCUCUGAAGAUGCUUUGAGCCUGACAUCUAGAAAAUCUUCUCACUGGCCACACUCAGGACGCAGACACUGGGUUUAUAAUACGCUCCAACCAUUAACCUUUGUUUUUCUUUUGUUUCCGUACAGAUGCCUCUUAUUAAUUACCUGACUGCUUGCACAAUAUGGGCCUAAUUUGGGGAACCCCCUCGAAGACCACUUCCUGAAACGAGACACAAGUGUUUAACUGAAGUGACUUAUUUUCUUUUUUUAAUAGUUAUUUAUUUAUUUAUUUACUUAUUUAUUUAUUGAGAGGGAG